GCAACGCGAAGAACCUUACCAGGGCUUGACAUCCCCUGACCGCGUAUGAAAGUACGUUUUCACCCUCGGGUGACAGGGAGACAGGUGGUGCAUGGUUGUCGUCAGCUCGUGUCGUGAGAUGUUGGGUUAAGUCCCGCAACGAGCGCAACCCCUACGUUUAGUUGCUAACGCGUGAAGGCGAGCACUCUAGACGAACUGCCGUUGACAAACGGAGGAAGGUGGGGAUGACGUCAAAUCAUCAUGCCCCUUAUGUUCUGGGCUACACACGUGCUACAAUGGCCGGUACAGACGGACGCAAAGCCGCGAGGUGGAGCAAAUCCUAGAAAGCCGGUCUCAGUUCGGAUUGCAGGCUGCAAUUCGCCUGCAUGAAGUCGGAAUCGCUAGUAAUCGCAGGUCAGCAUACUCGCGUCGAUACGUCCGGCCUU
rnacentral:rRNA from 1 species